rnacentral:tRNA from 1 species
GCGCGGGUGGCGGAAUGGCAGACGCGCUAGCUUGAGGUGCUAGUCCUCGAAAGGGGGUGGGGGUUCAAGUCCCCCUCUGCGCA